UAGUCCACACCGUAAACGAUGAUUACUCGAUGCUAGCGAUAUACUGUUAGUGUCUAAGCGAAAGUGAUAAGUAUCCCACCUGGGGAGUACGUUCGCAAGAAUGAAACUCAAAGGAAUUGACGGGGGCCCGCACAAGCGGUGGAGCAUGUGGUUUAAUUCGAUGAUACGCGAGGAACCUUACCAGGGCUUAAAUGUAGAUUGACAGGUUUAGAGAUAGACUUUUCUUCGGACAAUUUACAAGGUGCUGCAUGGUUGUCGUCAGCUCGUGCCGUGAGGUGUCAGGUUAAGUCCUAUAACGAGCGCAACCCCUGUUGUUAGUUGCCAGUGAGUAAUGUCGGGAACUCUAACAAGACUGCCGGUGCAAACCGUGAGGAAGGUGGGGAUGACGUCAAAUCAUCACGGCCCUUACGUCCUGGGCCACACACGUGCUACAAUGGUAGGUACAGAGAGCAGCCACUGGGUGACCAGGAGCGAAUCUAUAAAACCUAUCUCAGUUCGGAUCGGAGU
rnacentral:rRNA from 1 species